CCUACGGGAGGCAGCAGUGGGGAAUUUUGGACAAUGGGGGCAACCCUGAUCCAGCCAUGCCGCGUGCGGGAAGAAGGCCUUCGGGUUGUAAGCCGCUUUUAGUCGGGAAGAAAAGAUCACUCUUAAUACGGGUGGUUCUUGACGGUACCGGCGGAAUAAGCACCGGCUAACUACGUGCCAGCAGCCGCGGUAAUACGUAGGGUGCGAGCGUUAAUCGGAAUUACUGGGCGUAAAGCGUGCGCAGGCGGUUCGUUAAGUUUGUCGUGAAAGCCCCGGGCUCAACCUGGGAAUGGCGAUGGAAACUGGCGGGCUUGAGUAUGGCAGAGGGGGGUGGAAUUCCGCGUGUAGCAGUGAAAUGCGUAGAGAUGCGGAGGAACACCGAUGGCGAAGGCAGCCCCCUGGGCCAAUACUGACGCUCAGGCACGAAAGCGUGGGGAGCAAACAGGAUUAGAUACCCUGGUAGUCCACGCCCUAAACGAUGCUCACUAGGUGUUGGGGAAGCGAUUCCUUGGUACCGUAGCUAACGCGUGAAGUGAGCCGCCUGGGGAGUACGGCCGCAAGGUUAAAACUCAAAGGAAUUGACGG
rnacentral:rRNA from 1 species